AAGUCGGGCCUGCCCACUGAGUAAUAGAAGGGCCGCGGUAUUUUCACCGUGCAAAGGUAGCAUAAACAUUAGUCUUUUAAUUGAGGGCUGGAAUGAAUGGUUUGACGAAAUAUUAACUGUCUUUAUGUUAUAUAUAGAAUUUAUUUUUAAAGUUAAAAAACUAAAAUACUUAUGUGGGACGAGAAGACCCUAUAGAGCUUUAUAUAGUUAUAAAUAUAAUAUAUUAUGGUUAAUUUAUAGUAUUAUAAUAUAUUAUGUUGGGGAGACUUCAAAAAAAAACAACUCUUCUUUAUAUAUAAACAUUGAUAUAUCAAUUAAUCAUCCAAUAUUAUUGAUUAAAAGAUAUAGUUACCUUACGGAUAUCAGCGUUUUUUCUUGUGAGUUCAUAUCGAAAGAAAAGAUUGCGACCUCGAUGUUGGAUAAAAAAAAAGAUUAUAUGUACCAGUUAUAUUUAUAUGUCUGUUCGACUUUAUAUUUCUUAC
rnacentral:rRNA from 1 species